ACCAUAUAUUUUUUUAAAAAUUAAAUAAUACAAGUUUAGAACACUAUAAAAUACUUUAGACAUUCUGAAAAUUGUCAUGAACAUUUAUUUGCUAAGGAGUAUGUUUGACACCACAAGAGUAACAUUAAUAUGCAAAUCAGUGGACUAUAAAAUUUGUUUUGGUGCCUCAAGGGCAGUAUUUUUAUAAAUACAGGAGCACAAUUAUGCAUUCUCCAGAGGACUAAAAAUAAUUAUACAAAUUUACAACAAAGCCCAAGGCUGUGUCUCCUCUUAACUGUCUGUUUUUAAUAUCAUUUAAAUCUUGUUAAAACUUAAUUACCAAUUCUCUUCUGUAAUAAUUUAGGUGGAAGAUCUGAGGACUAAGUUUGCUGUUUGAAAGAGAGAACUUGACCUGAAAACAAAGACACCAAGGCACGGACUGACAAAAUAGGAUAGUGCGUUGAAAUACUUGAAACAGAUACAAUGGCAACUCUACUUCUAUGACAGAGGCUCGAGGUCAGGGGGAGCCUUGGAUUUUAUCCCCAGUAAAGCACCAGGUAAACCUGACAGAACUGUUAUAGCUCAAGCUAUAACAAAUGGAACAUAGCACCACAAGGCCUCAUGUCUCCCAGGGGGAAUAGCCCAGAGGACCGAGGCUGGAAAGCUACAAAGAUGUACCUAAAAAAAGGUAUCCAGAUUUCCCCAAAUCCUACUAAUUUGGAUAAGGAACAUAUUUCUGCAGCUAUUAUUAGAACCGUAAAAGUGACCCAGAGUUCAGCUUUUUUCAGUUUGUGCAAUCAAGAUUUCAGCUAUUGCUGGACACAGUGCUUGGGUUAUUAA
rnacentral:lncRNA from 1 species